UAACCCUCCCACCUGGCCACCUCCCCACGAGCCACGAAGGCCUCUAACCUCAUCCACCACCACCACCUCGUGCGCUAAUAUCAUGCGUCUAAGGAUGAAAUAAAAAUAAAAUCCUCUCCGCCAGCUCUCUCCCCCGAUUCCUCUCUCCACCACCACCGAUUCCAGGGAACUCCGGCGCUCCCCUGCACUCCUGAUCCCUGGUUCGGAUCCCUCUUACUAUUCUCUCCUCUAACCCGCGGCCCGCCGCCUCCCCGACAUCCUAUGCGACCCUGCCCACGCCCCCGCAGAAACCCUAGACCCCCACGGGUCGCCGGCGCAGCUUUGGCACCUCCGGUUUGUCGGCCCACCACCCCGCCUCUCUGCACGAGCGGCUAUCGGCUCGGGCUCGACGGUACUGCGCUCCGUCAGCUACCUCGACUCCGACGCCGACGGUUCAGUUGUAGUUGAGACUUCAUUUAUGCCGAGUAUGCUGUAGCAGCUGAACAUCGUCAUCGCUCAAAUGUGUAGGAGUGCCUGCUUUCCAUGAUGUACCGAUGUCAUUGAUGUGCCUUUUGUGAUGAGAAAGGAACUAGGUAUUGCAGAUGAUGUUACGGUGGUCAUUUUCUACAUUUGAGGACAGAUUGCCAAGAUAAAUAGAGGAUGCAUGGAUAAGUUGUUUUUGGCAAGGCAGAGAAUGGGACUACUACCAACAUAGUUUUACGUUAAGUUUUUAGAAAGCCGUUUUCAUGGUCAGUGUAUAGAAAAUGAUGUGACGUCAUUUUCAGGGUCAAUGUAAAGAAAAUCAUGUGUUUACUCUUUUGAUUUUGUUCCAUGUAAUGCAACCAAUCAGAUUCAAUAUAUGAGCUCUCCCUAUUUAC